rnacentral:rRNA from 1 species
UGAACGCUGGCGGCGUGCUUAACACAUGCAAGUCGAACGGAAAGGCCCCUGCUUGCAGGGGUACUCGAGUGGCGAACGGGUGAGUAACACGUGGGUGAUCUACCCCGCACUUCGGGGUAACCCCGGGAAACUGGGUCUAAUACCGGAUAUUCACGCCCCUUUUGUGUGGGGUGUGGAAAGAUUUAUCGGUGUGGGAUGAGCUUGCGGCCUAUCAGCUUGUUGGUGGGGUAAUGGCCUACCAAGGCGUCGACGGGUAGCCGGCCUGAGAGGGUGUACGGCCACAUUGGGACUGAGAUACGGCCCAGACUCCUACGGGAGGCAGCAGUGGGGAAUAUUGCACAAUGGGCGCAAGCCUGAUGCAGCGACGCCGCGUGGGGGAUGACGGCCUUCGGGUUGUAAACUCCUUUCGCCCACGACGAAGCCCUUCGGGGUGACGGUAGUGGGAUAAGAAGCACCGGCUAACUACGUGCCAGCAGCCGCGGUAAUACGUAGGGUGCGAGCGUUGUCCGGAA